ACCAGUCGCGUAGCCUCUUUUGCUUUAGUUCUCAUCUCAGCCCUAAUUCGCAAAUUCCUCCAAAAUCCCCAAAUCGCCUCCUACAGCAACGCCGCCCGUCACCGCUCGUCUGCCGGUGAGCACGCCGCCGCCUGCAUCCCCUCGGCCGGCCGUUCCUCCUGCAGCUUCUCCGCCGCCGCCUGCAACCCCUCCGCCGGCCGAACCUGCUCCAGCUUCUCCGCCGCCGACUGCAACCCGCAACCCCUCCGCCGGCCGAACCUCGUCCAGCUUCUCCGCCUCCGCCUGUGCUUUCCCCGCUCCCACCGGUUGCACCUACGCCGGCUCCGGUUGCUUCCUCCGUCAUAGAAAUCAGGUCCGUUUCACAAUUUACUCUUUUCCGCAUUUAAAUCUCAUAAUUCGAGAAAUAAAUGUAAGGCAAUUUUAGAUCUGUAGGGAUUUUCACUGAAAAGCAGGACGCCAUUUCUUCCCGUUGAUUUCUCGCUCCCUGCUGCCUGCUUCGAUCUUGUUAUCCUUAUUCAGGUGUUUCCGCUGCCUAAUCUUCAAUUUGUCUUUGUAAGUUCAAGAAGAAGAACGUCAAAAGUUAAGCUGUAAAUACUGAAAAUGUCCAAAAUUUAGUGGAUAAUCCAGCAGCCUGCUCCAUUGUUUUUUCAGAUAAACUGGUUUUUCUUAGCUCAAUUUUUUUUUUUUAAAACCAACAGAAAAAUGCUUCAGCAGGCUUCUUCAUACGAGCUCAUGUAGUCGAAUUUGUCUUGGUAUUGGAUUCUAUUAUUAUUAUUAUACUGGAGAAAUGAAAUUGUUAUAUUUCCUUGAGGUAUGUGAUUGAUGCAGAUUCCUUAAUACUUUUUUGUUAUCAGUUAAAUAUAUCAAGAUAGUCAUUUUCAUAUUAUAAAGAUUAAAUAGCCAUAGAGAUAAAUGCAGAUUCCUUAAUACUUUUUUGUAUUCCUUUUUAUGUUGGUGGUUAGUAUCUUUUAUUAAUGGGUAUUUUGCUAGUUCAGUCUUUUUAUAAUAAUAAUAAUAAUUAAUCUUAUUGUAGUAAACUGUCUAUUGUUUCACAAACCUAUAUACAUUUCGAAACUUUGAAUCAGAUUGUGUAGAAUCACCAGCGAAAUUGGAAUGUUAUUAUUAAGUUAAAAUAUGGAGUAAUCGAAUACUAGUGCUGUAGACUUAAGUUUUGCUUUGGCAUUUAUAGAUGAAUAAAACAUUGAUGUAUAAUAUGCCAUUUUAGGAUAAUAUUGAAUAUUUUGAAUGGCAAUAAGCAGGCGCAGUUUGAGCAGCCCAUCCCUAUUCCCUACUCCCAUUAUCACGUGAGAUGUUUGAUAAGUCGUGUUUGGUCUCCCAAUAAAUUCUAGUUUGAUAUUUAGUGAUCUUGUUAUCCUUAUUCAGGUGUUUCCGCUGCCUGCUUCGAUCUUGUUAUCCUUAGUAUUAAAAAUGCAAGAUUUGAUAUUUAGUGAUCUGUUUGUAUCGAAUAGUGAUAUUAAGUUGGACUUAAUUUUGCUUCAUUAACACUAAUAUUACUCCAUUAUUUUGCAUAUUAAGUUUGCACGAGUAACUAACUAAUUCAAGAAUUAAUUAAGUUUGCAUAUUUACUUGUACUACUACUAGGAUUUCCUUAAAUUGAUACUUGUAUUUUCAUUACAGAUCAACUUAUAGUUGUGCAGCCGUCAGACUUUGUUGUCAUAUUCACUUGAUUUUGCUGAAAG
rnacentral:lncRNA from 1 species